rnacentral:rRNA from 1 species
AUGCAGUUGGUCACGGGUGGCCACACGGCAGUUUUGGUCAACGGGAACAUUAGUCACUUCUUUGCUAACAGUAGCGUCCUGAGGCAGGGUGACCCGUCUUCUCCCCUCCUCUUCAACUUUGUGGCUGACUCUCUCUCUCUCUCUCAUAUUCUGACUCGGGCUGCUGCUGCUGGCCACAUCACUCCUGUCAGCCCUCACCUCGUCCCUAAUGGCAUCUCUCACUUACAAUAUGCGGAUGAUACUAUCAUUAUGGUUGAAUUGAAUGAAGCUAGCAUAAUACAUCUGAAGUUCCUUCUCCUUUGCUUUGAAGAUCUAUCUGGUCUCAAGAUUAAUUUUGCUAAGAGUGGAGUCAUUGUUACUGGGGUCUCGGAUGUUGAGGCCCAAAGAGUUGCUCAUCUUCUUAAUUGCUCCCUUGGCUCUUUUCCUUUAAAAUAUCUCGGCCUUCCGGUCUCUCCCCACAAGCUGCUGGCUAAAGAUUUUGCUCCGGCUGUCACUAAGGUGGGCAAUCGGGUCUUGCCAUGGAGAGGCCGCUACAACACCCAACCAGGCAAGGUCGCCCUAACCAACGCUUUCUUGUCUUCCCUCCCCAUGUUUUUGAUGGGCUUCUACCUCCUUUUGGGAGGGACACAUGAUGUCUACUACACAACCUUCUUCUUGUAG